GAGCAUGGCCACGCUCCCGAACAUACAUAGAUACAGUAAAGUGGGAUCGCGAUGGUCUCUCCUCCGGAGGAAGUGGAUACAAUUGCUGACAAUGAUUCAAAUGAUGAUGGCAGCCGUCACCUGUGUCCGGAGCAACACCAGUGUGGAGGAUGGCACACUGAACGCCCAAGUCCCUCUUCUAUGACCUGAAUGGCCUUGGCGACACCCGGUAAAAGUGCACUUUCUGCUGCGUGGGCGGCCACAUCCUGGGCAAGGAAAACGUCGCCAAGAGCCAAGAGCGGAAUUCAACUUCAUGAUGGACCAGGAGGCAGCACACAUAGUCCUCGAGCGUCUGAAGCAACCGCUUUGAUCUUGCCUUGGGAGCCUUGCAUCGAUGGCGAAUUCGGGUUGACUCUGGCCUGGAUCAACUGAUCAACACAAUAAUUUCUUAUACGGCUUUCCUGCCCCAAGCGGACAAUGACGGCACGCCAUUAUGCAAGGUUGAGGAGGAACUGGAGCAGCAGCAGUCCUAGAACACAACACGCGUGGGGCAAUCUCAAACUACAAAAAUGUCUGGUGUAUAUAUUUCCUUGAUAAAUGUACAAUCAGUGAAUAAAUUGAUGCGAGUGUUCCAUAA